AGUCAAUGAUUAAACAUUAAGAGUAGUGGACAGAAGAGCUUUCUGACAACAUUAUCCACUGAGACU
ensembl:snoRNA Small nucleolar RNA SNORD75